rnacentral:rRNA from 1 species
GUGGGGAAUCUUCCGCAAUGGACGAAAGUCUGACGGAGCGACGCCGCGUGAGUGAAGAAGGCCUUCGGGUCGUAAAGCUCUGUCAUCAGGGACGAACGGCCGGUGGAGUGGAAAGCCACCGGAUUGACGGUACCUGAGAAGGAAGCCACGGCUAACUACGUGCCAGCAGCCGCGGUAAUACGUAGGUGGCAAGCGUUGUCCGGAAUUAUUGGGCGUAAAGCGCGCGCAGGUGGGAUCUUAAGUCCAUUUUUAAAGUUCGGAGCUCAACUCCGUGAUGGGAUGGAAACUGGGAUUCUUGAGUACCGGAGAGGAAAGCGGAAUUCCCCGUGUAGCGGUGAAAUGCGUAGAUAUGGGGAGGAACACCAGUGGCGAAGGCGGCUUUCUGGACGGUGUCUGACACUGAGGCGCGAAAGCCAGGGGAGCGAAGGGGAUUAGAAACCCCGGUAGUCC